GGAGGAAUAUUGGUCAAUGGGCGGAAGCCUGAACCAGCCAAGUAGCGUGCAGGAUGACGGCCCUACGGGUUGUAAACUGCUUUUAGGCGGGGGUAAAGGAGCGGACGCGUUCCGCUUUUGCAAGUACCGCCAGAAAAAGGACCGGCUAAUUCCGUGCCAGCAGCCGCGGUAAUACGGAAGGUCCGGGCGUUAUCCGGAUUUAUUGGGUUUAAAGGGAGCGUAGGCGGGCUAUUAAGUCAGCUGUGAAAUCCGGCGGCUCAACCGUCGGCCUGCAGUUGAUACUGGUGGUCUUGAGUGCGCGCAGGGGCGUUGGAAUUCAUGGUGUAGCGGUGAAAUGCUU
rnacentral:rRNA from 1 species